CUUAAGUUUAUUUUUAAUCAGUAUGGAUGACUUUGCAAUGCAUUGUUUGAUUGCUGAUAGUUUUUAGUGCCCAAUGAGCACAAAAGAAGCAUAAACCAUUCCUUAGAUAUAUAUAGCUCCUGAUGUGGCAUUGCUACCAAACUCUGGUCACGUGUCUGCUAUAGUUGAUGUUGUUUAUGAUUUAUUUUCAGAAAAUUAUUUGGAAUCUACUAUUUAGCACAAGGUGCUGUGAUUUGCCCUACUAAUAAUGUACCAGAUGCAAUGAAUGACUGUGUUUUUUUCUAGGGUCCCCGGGUUGCAAGGGAAAUUCAUAGUUGUGACAUUAUCUUGUGAUGGUGUGGGUUUAUUGUACCCUCUGAAAUUCCUCCAUACUGGUGAACUUGGAAAUUUCCCACACCAGAAUAUCUCUUUGAAGGUUGGUGUCCCUAUAAUGUUGUUGAAUAAAACAAUCAAUGGACAGGGUUGUGCAAGAGAACUUGGCUCAUUGUUAAAAGGUUAAGGCCAGACAUUGGAUAUGGAAAGUGUUUAUUUAUCAAAGCAUGUAUUUUCUCAUGAAAUGUCCCAAGAGUCACAAUGGAGAAAAAGACUGUAAAUACUUGCAAUAGACGACAAUGGUAUGGCAGCUACUGAAACUACAAAUAUCUUCUACUAGGAGCAAACACCGGAAUCUCACCUUCAGAUUAUAGUUGUUCUGAAAGGGAGAAGGAAAGAAGUAUCCUAACUGAUGAAACAGACAUUCUGCAACGAGGCCUCCAUUUUGUCAGCACCUGCCAUCGAGAAAACCAUUUCAAGUGUUAUUUGUCUACUCAGCCUUGUAGUGAGUAUGGAACAUAAGUAUCCAUGCAAUUGUACCAAAAAUAUUAUCCACCCGCUGUUGUAAGAAGUGCGGACACUACCGAUGUACCGUGGCAUCAAGUAUCUAAGGAUCCGUGCAUAAUUAUUGUAACGGCCGUUUUAGCUUAUUAUGUGUAGUCAACUACUCCCUUGGGCUUAGUUUUCAUGUUUGGUAGAUCAAACCACCUUUCACUUCCAUGUUA